GGCCAGACUCCUACGGGAGGCAGCAGUGGGGAAUAUUGCACAAUGGGGGAAACCCUGAUGCAGCGACGCCGCGUGAGUGAAGAAGUAUUUCGGUAUGUAAAGCUCUAUCAGCAGGGAAGAAAAUGACGGUACCUGACUAAGAAGCCCCGGCUAACUACGUGCCAGCAGCCGCGGUAAUACGUAGGGGGCAAGCGUUAUCCGGAUUUACUGGGUGUAAAGGGAGCGUAGACGGCAUGGCAAGUCAGAUGUGAAAGCCCGGGGCUCAACCCCGGGACUGCAUUUGAAACUGUCAGGCUGGAGUGCAGGAGAGGUAAGUGGAAUUCCUAGUGUAGCGGUGAAAUGCGUAGAUAUUAGGAGGAACACCAGUGGCGAAGGCGGCUUACUGGACUGCAACUGACGUUGAGGCCCGAAAGCGUGGGGAGCAAACAGGAUUAGAUACCCCUGUA
rnacentral:rRNA from 1 species